NNNNNNNGAGAGUUUGAUCCUGGCUCAGGAUGAACGCUGGCGGCGUGCCUAACACAUGCAAGUCGAACGAAGUCUUCGGACUUAGUGGCGGACGGGUGAGUAACGCGUGAGAACCUGCCUCGAGGAGGGGGAUAACAGUGGGAAACUGCUGCUAAUACCCUAUAUGCCGAAAGGUGAAAAGAAAUUUGCCUUGAGAGGGGCUCGCGUCYGAUUAGCUAGUUGGUGAGGUAAGAGCUUACYAAGGCGACGAUCGGUAGCUGGUCUGAGAGGAUGAGCAGCCACACUGGGACUGAGACACGGCCCAGACUCCUACGGGAGGCAGCAGUGGGGAAUUUUCCGCAAUGGGCGAAAGCCUGACGGAGCAACGCAGAGUGGGGGAAGAAGGCCUUUGGGUUGUAAACUCCUUUUCUCAGGGAAGAAGAACUGACGGUACCUGAGGAAUCAGCCUCGGCUA
rnacentral:rRNA from 2 species